AUUGAACGCUGGCGGCAUGCUUUACACAUGCAAGUCGAACGGCAGCGCGGGCUUCGGCCUGGUGGCGAGUGGCGAACGGGUGAGUAAUGCAUCGAAACGUGCCCAGUAGUGGGGGAUAGCCCGGCGAAAGCCGGAUUAAUACCGCAUACCACCUGUGGUUGAAGGCGGGUGAACGAAAGACCUCUCGCUAUUGGAGCGGACGAUGUCCGAUUAGCUAGUUGGUGGGGUAAAGGCUUACCAAGGCGACGAUCCGUAGCUGGUCUGAAAGGACGACCAGCCACAUUGGGACUGAGACACGGCCCAGACUCCUACGGGGGGCAGCAGUGGGGAAUUUUGGACAAUGGGGGCAACCCUGAUACAGCCCUGCCGCGUGCGGGAAGAAGGCCUUCGGGUUGUAAACCGCUUUUGUUCGGGAAGAAAUCCUCUGGGCUAAUACCCCGGGGGGAUGACGGUACCGGAAGAAUAAGCACCGGCUAACUACGUG
rnacentral:rRNA from 1 species